AGCUUAAGCAGAUUCCGUAUAAUCCUUUCAUUCUUCUCAUCCUCCUUUCGAUUUGCCAUCUCACCAGUAAUCAAAGCCCAAACUAACUGCCAAAUAAUCACACAAAAAUUCAAACUCACUGCCAAAACUCACACAAAAAAUCAUCAAUUCCAGUAAAAAUGAUCAAUCGAAUACAUAAUCAUCACACAAAACUUAAAAAAUUCAAACUCAAUGCCAAAAAUCACACAAAAUCUCAAACUCAAGUAAAAUGAUCAAAUAAAUUCAAAAAUUCAAAGUUAUACAUCAUCAGAUCUGGUAAAAUUUACAGUCAUAAAAGUUAACAACUGAAACUAAAUUCAAACAGAUAUUCGAAUAUACGCUUAAAAAUACGCAAAAUACACAUAGUUUUGAUGAAAAUUACGAAUUUGAGUUACCUGAUCGGUGGAGGAAUUGGAGGAAACUAACAGCUUUCGUACAGCUCAGAAUGCUUUUUUGUGUGAAAAAUGUAGAGAGAGAAAGUUUAAGGGACGGAGGAAAUAUAGGGUGAUUCGCGGAUACAAGGGAGAAAUUGUGAGGACUAGUCUGCUGGAAAAAAACUGAACUAUAGUUUGAUUUUGACCGGUUGUGGACUUGGAAUGUUGUAUGGGGACA
rnacentral:lncRNA from 1 species